AAGCAAACCGAAACGGAGAUUGAGAUUGAAAUUAAAAAUAAACGUUGCCCGUGCAUUAUGGCCUGGUCAGGCCAUACUCCCCAACUCACACUCACACGUACACCCAAUCCCCUCCAGACAUCGGAUAUCUGAUUGCUUAUUGCCGAUCACUGAUUGCCAAUCCCACACCCAUGCAGUUUGUUUAUCUUUUGCCAUAUUUGCAGACCCGCGAUCUAUUUGCGAUUCGGUUUCACUGCUCUGGACGCGGGCAUUUUCUAGUCGCUGGAGGGGAUUGAGAAUAGUCUGUGUGCUGGCACUUUAGAUUUCCAAGAAAAGUGCUUAUAUAUAUUUCGGCUUUUUAGUGUCCAACUAACUAAAAAUUAAAUUAAACUCUACAGUCAGAAAUAAAUUAUGAAACAUAACCGAAGAGCAAAGUUGCCAACCAGCAAUUGAAGUGUCCCCAUUCCGCUGCACCCCCCAACUCUUUCAGCUUGGCCAGAUUGAAGCGCUAAGGGGCAGUCGCUUAAAACGAUGCAGAAGUGGAGGAAGAGCAGGUACAAAGUCGUUAGCACUUUGCCCGGUGUGAAGUUACCCAAGUCAACGAGGGCCAUCUCCAGCUCCAGCUUCAGCUCCAGCCAGCCUUGUUACACGACAGACCGGACAGCCAGAAGCCAGACGUUUAACACGGCCAACAAGUGAACGGCCAAAAGUGUUCCAGUGAUGCCUCUUUGACCUUUUUUUAUUUGGACACUCUGGACAAGGAAAAUACAAACUCUUAUUCAAACUCAGUAUUCAGUAUGUGCACGAAUAUCUACUGAAUUCACUAAACUCACUGAAGAAUUCGCGUGUUUCGGAGCCUAGCUUCAAAGUGCCUUCAUCUGAGAGCAAAUCGACUGAGGUGUGUGAAACAGGUCCCAGUCUUGAGAUUUCACAUUAAGGUUUCAAUUUGGUUUCCGCUAAAAAAGAAAAAGAGCUCUUCUGGUGGCUCUAAAGAGACUCGCAGCACUACAGACUGGUCAAGCGAUCGAUCGAGCGCUGUCUGUCCAUGUCCAGUCCAUCACGUAUGAAUGGGUUGAUUCGAGAUCAGGGGACAGGGCAAACGACGAUGAUGGGCAAGAAAACAAGUUAAGUUGUCUUAAUAAGAUCAAACAUGGCGAUUAUGAGGAAUUACUUGGAGAUAAUGACAUCGGCCAGCGUCAGCCAGCAAAAGGCUCUGGCUCUCGAAGAUUCAGUUUUAAAAUCGGGCAGCAGCCGAAAUCCAACUGCAACUCAUCUGCAAAACGGCCUGGGAAAUGAAUUCGUUAAGUGAACUAAUUGCUUCCCUGGAUUCCCACGUACAUGCAUAAAUAUAGAUGUAUAUAUAUCCGAUUCGUAAUUGAAUCAGUGGUUAAAAAUUCGUUGGCGGAAGUACUGCAGCAUAUUACAACGCAAUAUGAAUAUAGAACAUAAACGGGAACGUCAUAUGGCAUCAGAGAUUGGAAUUGAAAUCGGGAUGGUGUAUCUCGGGAUCUGGGAUCUCGGGAUCGGGACCGAGCCAGACCUCGAUUUCCUAUAAAUACGGCGUCCACGCUUUGUUUUGAAAUUAUUUUUAUUUUGUGCUAAUUAAUGGUCGGCCGAUAAGGAAGCACAUGAUGGCGAUAGCCGGCUCCGGCGCAUAGAUAAUCCCAUGGUCAAUCUAAGUCCGAAUCGGAAUUGGAAUUUCCAGCUAAGGCGCGCUCGCAGGGUGAGGAAAGCUUAGUCAGCGUGUAAUCAAUAUGGCUAAACCUGACUUGAAGGUUUUCACAAAGGUGUAAAGUGUAUAAAUAUCCAAAUAGGUAUUAACUUAACCUUUUGACACUUAUGGUUACUCGGAGCAGUUAGCAAGUUUGCUAAAUACAUAUUGCAAAUCAACUACUGCUGCACUACUGAAGAAUUCGCGUUUCUACUUCUCCUUCAAGUACUGUGUGAGGAUCAGGUGCAGCCUGGGAAUAAGAGGUGAGGAUUGGCCGUUGUUAUCAGGGCGAUGGAAUGAAGAUGAGGCCAUGCAUUGUUAGUGCUGUCGUCAACGAUAUAAUUGCUUCAGCUGGAGAGAAAAAAGGGACAGAUUAACAUUUUAGCGUGAAAGAAGCGAGAGGAGGAGGAGGUGGAUGGUAGGAUGGAGUAGCAGUAGCAAUCAAAGUAGGAACAGCAGCUUCAGCAGCAGCAGCAGCAGCAGCAACAACAAUUUGUUAGCUCUUUACGAUUAUUGCCUUUCUCACACCUUAUUACCAAGAAAAUAAAGAAGCAGCAUCCACACGGGCAACAACAAAUACUCGACGAUGAGACGUGAAAAUACAAAUAAAAAAAGAACCCAAACACACACACAAGGUACAACAAAAGGCCACAACGAGAACAAGAAGCUGCCCCUUGGAGUGGAGUGGACUCGACUGGACUGCAGUGGACUGUAGAGUGGACUGGGAGUGGACUGGCAGUGGAGUGGGAUGGAACUGAGUCUGGAAAAGGAAGUGGGGGCGGGGGAGAGGCACUGGAAAUCGCACACUCACAGCCAUUGAUGGUGCAAGCGAGAGGCAUGUAGUUCAUAAACAAUCCCAACAUAAAAAAUGACAUACACCGAGAAAAGAAUUCCUAGAGAUUACAAAUUAUGCCUACAGUUAUCUUAAAAAGAAUGCCCCAAAGCCGCGAAAGAAUUUAGAAUUCUGUGAUUAUUUUAUACAGAUAUGCAGAUAAUAAUUAAAUAUGGUGUAUGUUUCUCCUUGUGUAUAGAAAGAGAGUACAAGCAAUUUGUUGACUAAAAAACGACAAAGUCAUCGGCUAAAAGGAUUUCAAAUGAACGAGCAAGCCAAAUGAGCAAGGAUGAGCGAGGGGAACGCUUGUUUUGGGAGGAGGAGAGUUACUUUCCCGGCUACCGACCGAUUUAAAUGAUGUCCAGUGCUCAACAGCAAUAACAACAACAGCACCAAGUGGCACUUGCAGCUCUGUUUGCUUAAUGAAACAACAGCGACACACUCACAUUCACACUCACACUGGCACACACACACACAAAGUAACACCAAGGGACUGUGUGAAACACCAACAAAUACACCUUGGGCAAAUAAUGCAGACAGGACGGCCACAAUCGACUUGGUCAUAACUGUGACACCUGACCUCGAGGGUGCUGGCCUAUUCGUGCUUCGCUAGACUGGCGCAGCCCAUUAAUCCUGGAUGCUACUCCUACUGAUGAUAACGAUCACCAAUUGAGUGGCAAAAGAGAGUGGGAGGAGGAGGAGGAGGAGGAGGAGUAGAAGGAGGAGAGCCAGACAACAGGCGGAUAACAACGCCUGUCUCCAAGUGGACUCAAGUGCCGCAGGAGGUGGAGGUGACUGCGGAGAAGGAGUUGGAGUUGAAGUUCGAGUUGGAGGACGAGGACGAGGACGAGUAGGAGGAGAAGGAGAAGGGGCAGCACAGCGAGACACGCAGGCUGCUGGACGACCGGCAGCAUAAGCACCAGCAGCAGAAGCAGAAGCUACUUGAGAGCCGCAGAAUUCCGAUUCCGAUGAGGCGAUCGUGUGUCUAUAUGCAUGCUGGAGAGCAGCCGCUCAGCCACUCCAUUCCACUCCACUCCAUUACCAGUUCGCAGAUCGCCGCAUCCAGCAAACAGCAUACAGCUCCAAGGAGCUGGCAAUCAAAUGGCCAACGUUGGACAAUGACUUUCACGCCUUUCGAGCGCGCCAAAACGAACAUGUCAAGUACAGCCGACCAGCAGGUAUCCCAGAUACCCUACCAACGUAGGUAGCUUUGGUGGUUUGAUUAUAGUUUUUCUGACAAGUAAUCUUUUCACUAUCGUACAAAAAAAAUGACUUUAUUGAUUUCUUGGAGAAGUUAGGAUCAAGACAAUGUUAUCUUUGAUAAUUUAGCUUAUCUGUUUUGCACUAUUCAACACCACAUUAUUUUAUAUCUGUGCACUUUUCACAAAAAUGCUCCCCGAUUUCAAUUUCCGUUGCGGUCGAUCAGCACUUAAGCCUUCAAUCUGGACAUCAACUCUCGAUCUUUCGAUCCAGGAGCUGGAAAGCACAGGGGAAGUAUUCGUUUACUUUGGACAGACCAUCGCCCCAUUGAUAUGGUACAAAAAUAUGCAAGUACUUUCGCACUUUAGCGGUUUGUUUAGUUCUUAUCAUUGCGCUGUGCGAGAUUAACUCUGCAUGUCUGGCAAUGUUUUCACAACAAUCACAUCAACUUAAGAUCACAGGUUAGUUUUCAAUUUUGAAAUUUUUUUGCACACUUUACGUACUCGUUGGCUGUCGCCGGGCUUAAAAAACAAAAAAUGCCGUCGGUACGUUGACAAAAUGUAUGAGGCGGAAAACAAAUAAAAUUCAGUUUUGGAGCCUUGUAGUUUCCGAUUAGUAUGAGCCUUAAACUUUUCACGUAUUUCGUUGGCUCGAAAGCUCUUUGGAUUCAGACUCAAGCGCGAAAAGAGUUCGUUUUUGACACUUUAAAAUCCCGCUAAGUUUCGAGGUGCGACCGUCGCACUGCAGCUCCUGAGCUCAUCUGAACACUCCAACGAAAACCGGCGGACGUUUAGAUCGAAUCGCAGUGAUGCCCGCUUUUCAGUCGAAUCACUGCUAAAAACAAAGAAAGAACAAGAGGCUUAAUUGCAAGAUUACUCUCUUAAUUUAAAUCGAAUCUCAAAUAUAAAUGAAUAUCAUUAAAAUUGGACCAAGUUAGAACCUUAUAAUAAAAUACGAUUAUUAGAAAAUUAUUUUAAAAAAUGUAUGUACCGCACCUCCUAAUGCAUUCGUUGUACUUUACAAACAAGUUGAACAUAGUUUAGUAACAGAAAAAUGCUUCUGGGUAUUGGUAUUGGUACAAUAGGACUAUAAAUCUAAUACAGAGAAAAAAAGCCAAAUUGGCAUCACUGCUACUGUUGCCUCUCUCGAACCUUCAAACAAACAAUCUCAAUCUGAAGCACAUUUUGCGCUCUCUCAAACCGCUUCAAGCCGCAACCUCACACUAAAAAGCAUUUAAUAAAUUAAAUCUAAAAUUUAUAUUAUUUAAUCAAAUCAUCAAAUUGUUCACGAAAUAUUUUAUUUAUUAUAUUUAUUUAUUUGACAUUUUAACUUAAAUCCAAUUGCAAAUACGCUAACCCAAUACUUGGAAAUAGUUGUAGUAAAUAUUUGAUCACAUCCAUCCAUCACUAACAAAUAAACAAAUCAAAUUAAGGCAAUCCACAUUAAAUAAAAAGUAUAUUUCUUGUAUUAAUUACCGAUUUUUUACUUGGUCCGCCGGCCGCCAAGCAAAUUUUGUCCGGUCGAAACUGCCAACUUUACAAGUUCCAGGCACCAGGGGAACAGAAACAGAAGCAAGCGCCAGCUGGCCGCUCAAAUUUAACCAAAACAGCUGAUCGCUUUUUCAUGAUGGCCGCCCCAUACGUUUUUCCAGUAGCCAUUUGACCAAUGGGAAGCUAGCGAUGUAGGGGUAACCGUUAGUUUUUCCAUGAGCCCGCCCUAUACGUCUUUCCAGUCAGCAGUCAACGAUCAUGUCCGCCUGCCCCCUACGCAAAUUUAUGUUCGCCUGGUGCUAAGCCACCGAGAAUUCACCAAACUCGCACAUAAUUUCCUACCCGGCAUAAUUUUUACGAGUCAAAUUGGCACUUUUUGGGUCCCGGACACCAGGCGAACAGAAUCCGCAGCAAGCAGCAGCUGACAGUUCGAAAUCAGUUGAAACAGCUGAUCCUUUUCAUGAUGGCCGCCCUUUUUCAUGAUGGCUGCCAUUUCGAUCUCCCCAGCUCCUUCUGACCAAUAGGAGAGCAGCGGAACCGUUACUUGGGAUCUAAGUGCAGAGCAGUGAUGAGCGACCACGUUGUUCUUGUGUUCGUGUCACGAUUUUAGCACGAUAGGCACGAAAGUCCCUUGCAUUACAUGGGUGCGUGCCGAAACUAAAAGGCACGCGGGCAUCUCUGUCUAAGCGCAAAUUUGACUGAUCAGCUGAUUGUUUUGCACGUGGUAAUCUUUCUGCGCGCCUGGUAUUUGAGAUCGAGAAAUGAUGCAAUACUGUGUUUGCGCUAGGAGAGAGAGAAUAAUGAAUCUGAUCCGUUUCCCAGAGGCUGGGCCUACAGGAUCUGCAAGAGAUUUCCCAGGGCACGUACCGCAUUGGCCCUGACCUUGUCGUCGUCGGCACACCACUUCGUGGCCGCCUGGAUGAGGCGUUCCAAAAGUUCGGCUCCCCUGAUCCUCGGAUCCUCAUGAUCGUCGAUGGCGCAACCGCUUAGGAAGGCCAACAAGGCGGUCCUCUGGCCAUCCGGGAGUCUGUUGAAGCAAAAGGUUCCCAAGUUGGACAGGGCGUCGCAGAGCGCGCACUUCAAGGAGCACCCGGCGGAAUCGUAGGCUUCAUAGGUGGCCGGCAGCAGUGUGAGCCAAAAGGACAUAUGGAGCUCCCAAUCUGCCGGUUCCCGCAACAGCCUGUCCAGCUGGUAGCCAACGGAGUUCAAGCAGCGUGCGGCGUACAGCUUCACAUAGCGGGAUCCCUCAGUCCGGCGGUCAAGAUUAACUCGUUGAGCCACAGCUGCCAAAGACGCAACAAGCCAUGGUGCCCUCUCCCUCGCACGCCAGCGACUAGCUGCUGCAGACGAUCCGCCGCCACGCCCACAGUGACGCCGAUGUUGUGGUCCAGUUUCCGGACGAGCUGCAAGUGCGCCUGACGCUCCGCCUCGUCCUGAUCCGCUCUAUACUCCGCCUCCAGAAGGUCCCGGCGCAGAUCCAUUUCUAUUCUAUCGAAUGUUUACCUCAUGCGAUAACGAUUACACGAUAACUCACUGCACCGAUUGUGACCAGGCGGCCUAUGUGCUGUCGAUGAAAGGCGCCUAUAAUUAAAAAAAUAGAAUUACAUGUCCGGUACUUGGCCAAGUUACGGCGAAAAUGCCGAUUGAAAAUGUCCGAACUUUUACAAUUUUUUUUUCCGAUUUUUUGAUGAAAAAUAAUGCGUUUUUUCUUCAAUAUCAUCAAAAAUAGUUGCCCAAAAGUGGAAUGCCAUACCUCGUUGAGUUCGUAACAAAAUUCCCUAUCGAUCCAUGUACCUACAUUGAAAUGCUAAUUUGUUCCCAUUUUUCGCAAAUUUUGAUGAUGGUACCCCUUAUCGAAAAUGCGAAAAUUUGACAAAUUUUUUUUUUUCGAAAAUCAAUAAAGUAGGGCUAGACAUCGUUAGCUAUGUUUAUUAGCAGCACAAAACAGCUUUUAGCUGUGCGCCCAUUUUUGGCCAAGUAAUUGCAAAAAUCCCAUAUUUUUAACAACAGUUUUAGUUUUGAUGACUGCUGAGAGGCAACGCUUUAUUUUCAAUUCAUAGUCCAUAUUCCGUGACCCCCCAAUAAAAAUACGUUUUGCGGAUAAAGGAAAAAUACAUUGAUUGUGGUAGCUAUUUUCAUUCUUCUUAUGAAUACACACAUAACAUUUAAAUACAAAUACAUUUACAAUUGAAAAUUUUCUCUACAUAUACAAAAUAUUUUAUUUAAAAAUAGGUGAAAAAAAAAGAAUAAAUUGUUGUCCUUAGGUUCGUUAGCUUAGUAAACAUAAUUUAUGCGCCAGCGGCAGCGGAAGCAGCAGCAAAAAGAAGACCGAAUUCACUGAACACAAAUGAAAAAUUAAGUUUUCUUUAAAAUGGCUAUGGUGAUCGGGAAUUAAAUUCUUCAAGUAAGCAGCCUUUUUUUCUGUUUCCCAUUUCUAAAUAAGAAGACAAUAUUUCUCAGACGAGACAGAGUAUUGCUCAGUAAAAACAACUUGAGGUCGAUUUCAUUCAGUUUUAACUCUGCUUCAGAUUUCUUCUCAUGAUUAAUAUUUUUACACGCAAUAUCAAUAAAUUUAUUCCUCACAGAAUUGAAAGGAGAAGUCAAAGCUUUAUUUAGAACUAUUAUUACAUGCCCAUAAAUAUUUUUAAUGUUAGUCGUACAUUUAAAAGCAAAUUGAAUUUAGUUAAUCUCCCACAUGUUCCUCUCCUCUUUUUUUUUGUAACUUUAAAAGUUUCUUCAAUUAAUUGAGUUGCAAAA